rnacentral:rRNA from 1 species
UACGGGGGGGGCAAGCGUUGUUCGGAAUUACUGGGCGCAAAGGGCUCGUAGGCGGCCAACUAAGUCAGACGUGAAAUCCCCAGGCUCAACCUGGGAACUGCGUCUGAUACUGGAUGGCUUGAAUCCAGGAGAGGGAUGCAGAAUUCCAGGUGUAGCGGUGAAAUGCGUAGAUAUCUGGAGGAAUACCGGUGGCGAAGGCGGCAUCCUGGACCGGCAUUGACGCUGAGGAGCGAAAGCCAGGGGAGCAAACGGG